UGUGUAGGCGGUUCUCUAAGUUUGGUGUGAAAUCUCCCGGCUCAACUGGGAGGGUGCGCCGAAAACUGGAGGGCUAGAGUACUGGAUGGGAGAGUGGAAUUCCUGGUGUAGCGGUGAAAUGCGUAGAUAUCAGGAGGAACACCUGUGGUGUAGACGGCUCUCUGGACAGUAACUGACGCUGAGACACGAAAGCGUGGGUAGCAAACAGGAUUAGAUACCCUGGUAGUCCACGCCCUAAACGAUGCAUAUUUGGUGUGGGUCAUUCAUUUGAUCCGUGCCGGAGCUAACGCGUUAAAUAUGCCGCCUGGGGAGUACGGUCGCAAGGCUGAA
rnacentral:rRNA from 1 species